GACGAACGCUGGCGGCGUGCUUAACACAUGCAAGUCGAACGGAAAGGCCCUGCUUUUGUGGGGUGCUCGAGUGGCGAACGGGUGAGUAACACGUGAGUAACCUGCCCUUGACUUUGGGAUAACUUCAGGAAACUGGGGCUAAUACCGGAUAGGAGCUCCUGCUGCAUGGUGGGGGUUGGAAAGUUUCGGCGGUUGGGGAUGGACUCGCGGCUUAUCAGCUUGUUGGUGGGGUAGUGGCUUACCAAGGCUUUGACGGGUAGCCGGCCUGAGAGGGUGACCGGCCACAUUGGGACUGAGAUACGGCCCAGACUCCUACGGGAGGCAGCAGUGGGGAAUAUUGCACAAUGGGCGGAAGCCUGAUGCAGCAACGCCGCGUGCGGGAUGACGGCCUUCGGGUUGUAAACCGCUUUCGCCUGUGACGAAGCGUGAGUGACGGUAAUGGGUAAAGAAGCACCGGCUAACUACGUGCCAGCAGCCGCGGUGAUACGUAGGGUGCGAGCGUUGUCCGGAUUUAUUGGGCGUAAAGGGCUCGUAGGUGGUUGAUCGCGUCGGAAGUGUAAUCUUGGGGCUUAACCCUGAGCGUGCUUUCGAUACGGGUUGACUUGAGGAAGGUAGGGGAGAAUGGAAUUCCUGGUGGAGCGGUGGAAUGCGCAGAUAUCAGGAGGAACACCAGUGGCGAAGGCGGUUCUCUGGGCCUUUCCUGACGCUGAGGAGCGAAAGCGUGGGGAGCGAACAGGCUUAGAUACCCUGGUAGUCCAUGCUGUAAACGGUGGGUACUAGGUGUGGGGUCCAUUCCACGGGUUCCGUGCCGUAGCUAACGCUUUAAGUACCCCGCCUGGGGAGUACGGCCGCAAGGCUAAAACUCAAAGGAAUUGACGGGGCCCCGCACAAGCGGCGGAGCAUGCGGAUUAAUUCGAUGCAACGCGUAGAACCUUACCUGGGUUUGACAUGGAUCGGGAGUGCUCAGAGAUGGGUGUGCCUCUUUUGGGGUCGGUUCACAGGUGGUGCAUGGCUGUCGUCAGCUCGUGUCGUGAGAUGUUGGGUUAAGUCCCGCAACGAGCGCAACCCUUGUUCACUGUUGCCAGCACGUUAUGGUGGGGACUCAGUGGAGACCGCCGGGGUCAACUCGGAGGAAGGUGGGGAUGACGUCAAGUCAUCAUGCCCCUUAUGUCCAGGGCUUCACGCAUGCUACAAUGGCUGGUACAGAGAGUGGCGAGCCUGUGAGGGUGAGCGAAUCUCGGAAAGCCGGUCUCAGUUCGGAUUGGGGUCUGCAACUCGACCUCAUGAAGUCGGAGUCGCUAGUAAUCGCAGAUCAGCAACGCUGCGGUGAAUACGUUCCCGGG
rnacentral:rRNA from 1 species